UACGAAGGGGGCUAGCGUUGCUCGGAAUCACUGGGCGUAAAGCGCAUGUAGGCGGCUUGUUAAGUCAGGGGUGAAAUCCUGGAGCUCAACUCCAGAACUGCGUUUGAUACUGGCGAUCUUGAGUCCGGGAGAGGUGAGUGGAACUGCGAGUGUAGAGGUGAAAUUCGUAGAUAUUCGCAAGAACACCAGUGGCGAAGGCGGCUCACUGGCCCGGUACUGACGCUGAGGUGCGAAAGCGUGGGGAGCAAACAGG
rnacentral:rRNA from 1 species